rnacentral:rRNA from 1 species
GGGGAAUCUUAGACAAUGGGCGCAAGCCUGAUCUAGCCAUGCCGCGUGAGUGAUGAAGGCCUUAGGGUCGUAAAGCUCUUUCGCCAGGGAUGAUAAUGACAGUACCUGGUAAAGAAACCCCGGCUAACUCCGUGCCAGCAGCCGCGGUAAUACGGAGGGGGUUAGCGUUGUUCGGAAUUACUGGGCGUAAAGCGCGCGUAGGCGGAUUGGAAAGUUGGGGGUGAAAUCCCAGGGCUCAACCCUGGAACUGCCUCCAAAACUACUAGUCUAGAGUUCGAGAGAGGUGAGUGGAAUUCCGAGUGUAGAGGUGAAAUUCGUAGAUAUUCGGAGGAACACCAGUGGCGAAGGCGGCUCACUGGCUCGAUACUGACGCUGAGGUGCGAAAGUGUGGGGAGCAAACAGG